UAAAAUGACACGCUGUUGCUUAAAAAAAUAGAAGAAAAAACAAAGAAAAUGACAUAAAACCUGUAAAUGACCUGAGAAAAUAAAUCAAUGCCGUGAGAGCAGAGAAUCAGCAACUAAAGGCCCUGAACUUCAAACUGCAAAAUGAGAUUAUUAACAGAAUUGCGGAGUUGCUGCCAGACAGCAGUGUAAACAAGCAUGCUGUGCCAACCUCCCUAACAAGUUCAGUUUGCUGUGCUACCCUUCAACCAGACAACUCUUCACAUAGUUCUUCUGAACUGGACCAUGUUGAAAUCCACAGAAAACGAAACAAGGAUACAUUCCAAGUGUGGUGGUAGAGGGGGCACAUCAUGGUCAGCCAUGAUCAAGGAUUUAGCCGUGGCUGUUUUUGGAAGGAGCAUGUUAGCUACCCGUAGCCUGUCUGCAAAAUUUUGAAAUGCCAACAAAGAAUCACAAGCCAAGCCUCCU